GACACAGCCGUAUCCCCCAGCAGCCCAGCACCAGUCCCUCACUGAAGAUGAGCAGGGCUGAGCUUGUUCAGUGUCUGGAUGAGAGAGCACAUGGGAAAACUAGGCUGCUGUUGGCA
rnacentral:rRNA from 1 species